GUGCUCACUUCGGCAGCACAUAUACUAAAAUUGGAAUGAUACAGAGCAGAUUAGCAUGGCCCCUGCACAAAGAUGAAUGCGAAUUUGCAAAAUACAUAAAGAACUCAU
rnacentral:snRNA from 1 species